UUAAUAAUUUAUAUAAAAUAUUUUGAUGAAUAUUUAUAUAAUAUUAACAUAAUUCAUAUUACUAUAUAUUUCAGUAUAUGAAAUUUUACUUUGAGAAAAUUAGAGUGCUUAAAGCAGGCAUAUGCCUUGAAUACUCCAGCAUGGAAUAAUAUUAAAGAUUUUUAUCUUUCUUAUUGGUUCUAAGAUAAGAAUAAUGAUUAAUAGGGACAGUUGGGGGCAUUUGUAUUUAACAGUCAGAGGUGAAAUUCUUAGAUUUGUUAAGGACAAACUAAUGCGAAAGCAUUUGCCAAGGAUGUUUUCAUUAAUCAAGAACGAAAGUUAGGGGAUCGAAGACGAUCAGAUACCGUCGUAGUCUUAACCAUAAACUAUGCCAACUAG
rnacentral:rRNA from 1 species